GGAGAGAUGCCGGAGUGGUCGAACGGGGCAGUCUCGAAAACUGUUGAACGUCUUGUGCGUUCCGGGGGUUCGAAUCCCCCUCUCUCCGCCA
rnacentral:tRNA from 1 species